GAAAGUAGGAACAAUUCAGCAGUGGAGUCUGCGAAGCUAAUUCGAGAACAAGUAAAAAGAAGUGUUCAAUUUAUGUUUCAUGUUGGUGCAGAGAAAGAAUGGUUUUUGUUUGCUGGGGUCGUCGCUUGUCUAUAUGCACUGUCCUUGAUAGGAAACUGCUUCGAUUUGCUUACACUUUGCUACAUUGGGACCAUAGGAGGGUUGACUAUUCCUUUGAUUUACGUGAAAUACGAGCAUAAAACAAGGGAAUAUGGAGAAA